UACGUAGGGGGCAAGCGUUGUCCGGAAUCAUUGGGCGUAAAGAGCGUGUAGGCGGCCAGAAAAGUCCGCUGUGAAAACUCGAGGCUCAACUUCGAGCUGUCGGUGGAAACUUUCUGGCUAGAGUCCGGAAGAGGAGAAUGGAAUUCCUGGUGUAGCGGUGAAAUGCGCAGAUAUCAGGAAGAACACCCGUGGCGAAGGCGGUUCUCUGGGACGGUACUGACGCUGAGACGCGAAAGCGUGGGGAGCGAACAAG
rnacentral:rRNA from 1 species